AACCCAUGAUGUGGAUAUUGAAGCAAAAAGCCUUUGAAGCGCUCCCAACAUUCAUUGAAAGGUUCUUCAUCAUGUUAUGCAAAGUUGAAGAUUUGCCCUCUUAAAGU